rnacentral:rRNA from 1 species
UACGGGGGGGGCAAGCGUUGCUCGGAUUUACUGGGCGUAAAGCGUACGCAGACGGUGAGAAAGGUCGGAUGUGAAAGCCCCGGGCUCAACCCGGGAACUGCAUCCGAAACCAUCUCGCUAGAGUAUGGGAGAGGGAAGCGGAAUUCCUGGUGUAGAGGUGAAAUUCGUAGAUAUCAGGAGGAACAUCUGCGGCGAAGGCGGCUUCCUGGCCCAUUUCUGACGUUCAGACAUGACAGCAUGGGGAGCGAACGGG